rnacentral:lncRNA from 1 species
AUAUCGUACAAUAUACAUAUAUAUAAAUAGAUAACGUGUGAACAAAAAGAAAAAAAUCAAGAGAUAAAUAUAUUUCUGGUUGAAACGAAUCGCGAGACACGUAUCUCUAACGUAGAAAGGUCCAGGGCUGAAAUAACGAGAUCGAAAGAGAAGGGUUCAAGGUUCGCGAACUUGGCACGACGACGACGACGACUGUCGCGACGGCUUUUAAGUCCGCGUUUAGAUCUACGUUUUGUUCGCUUUUCUCUUUUUAUUCAUUUCGUUUUGAAUGAAUCGACGCGACCACGCGCGGCCAAAUAAAAAUUUCAUUUCAUUUUACCAACACGACGCGCGUACAUCUUUUUUUAUUUGUUUUUUUAAUUAUGAACAUAUCAUCCUGUUUUUUAUUUUUUGUUCGAAAUAUAUAUCGAAAAUAUGCGUAGGUAAGUGGAAACGCUACCCCCUCCUCCUCCUCUUCUUUCUUUCCUCCAUCGUGUCUCUUCAUUUCAUGCGAGAGAAAAAAAAUAGAUAAAAAAAAAGGAAAUAAAAAAUGUGCCAUCGAUAUGCACGAUCGAUGGAUAUGUGUAUGUAGAAUAGAAGAAGAAUUGGUGAUCGUCGGUCAUGCAAAUUCAUAUUCCAAUGUGAUACCUUUAGGCGUACACGAUCAAAGGCGAACACUCUAUAACCUCUAUAAUUUUAUACGAUCGUGAUCGAAUUAUGUGCCAUUCCGCGCUCGAUGAGCGAUACGAUCGCGUUUCUCCAUAACUAAUUCGAUUAAAGCCUCUUCGUCGUCGUCAUCGUCGUCGUAAUCGUCGUUGCUCGUUAAAACUUUCAUAAUUAUUCGCAUUCUUAAUUUUUUCCACUACAAGUACGUACAUAAUACAACAAAGCGAAAUAAGUUCGUUCGAACAAUAAAUUAAUCUCAUACGAAUACGUUUGAAAAUAAAUUCGAUCAAGAUCCACCUGUGCAAGAAAAAACAAAAAACAAUGGAGGGCGGGAAAAUGAAUGGAUAAUAUUUACUAAAAAAAGUUGUUGUUGUUGUUGAGUAUAGAACGUUGGUAAUAAACAACACCAACACCAACAACAACAUAACAAAAAGUUAUAACAGGAGAGCCCUUUUGAAUUCCGGAAGACACGAAAAUGCAAGAGGAAGUUGAGAACGCGUCCCCCGUCUGGCAGGGGAACGUCUGCGAGUCCAAUGGAGGAGUAAAGUAAGAAGGGGAAAGAAGUCUGAGGGGUCUGCCAGAUAUCGUGGAAAACGAGAAGAAGAAGCAGAAGCAGCAGCAGCAGCAGCAGACCAACCACCAACCACCACACCAUCGUCACUUGGGAAGAAGCAA